AGGUGCGAUCAUACCAGCACUAAUGCACCGGAUCCCAUCAGAACUUCGUAGUGAAGCGUGCCUGAGCGAGAGUAGUACUAGGAUGGGUGACCUCCUGGGAAGUCCUCGUGUUGCACUUC
rnacentral:rRNA from 1 species